GACAUACUCCCUCUGUUCUAAAAUUCUUGUCUUAGAUUUGUCUAGAUAUGAAUGCACCUAGUCAUGAUUUAGUAUUUAGAUACAUUCAAUUCUAAACAAACCUAAGACAAAAAAUUUAAGACGGAGGGAGUAUAUG
rnacentral:pre_miRNA from 1 species